rnacentral:rRNA from 1 species
GAUGAACGCUGGCGGCGUGCCUAAUACAUGCAAGUCGAGCGAACAGACGAGGAUCUUGCUCCUCUGACGUUAGCGGCGGACGGGUGAGUAACACGUGGAUAACCUACCUAUAAGACUGGGAUAACUUCGGGAAACCGGAGCUAAUACCGGAUAAAAUAUUGAACCGCAUGGUUCAAUAGUGAAAGACGGUUUUGCUGUCACUUAUAGAUGGAUCCGCGCCGCAUUAGCUAGUUGGUAAGGUAACGGCUUACCAAGGCAACGAUGCGUAGCCGACCUGAGAGGGUGAUCGGCCACACUGGAACUGAGACACGGUCCAGACUCCUACGGGAGGCAGCAGUAGGGAAUCUUCCGCAAUGGGCGAAAGCCUGACGGAGCAACGCCGCGUGAGUGAUGAAGGUCUUCGGAUCGUAAACCUCUGUUAUUAGGGAAGAACAAAUGUGUAAGUAAAUAUGCACGUCUUGACGGUACCUACUCAGAAAGCCACGGCUAACUACGUG